rnacentral:rRNA from 1 species
GAUGAACGCUGGCGGCGUGCCUAAUACAUGCAAGUCGAGCGAACAGACGAGGAGUUGGGGCCUCUGAGGUUAUAGGCGGUCGGGACAGUAACACGGGGAUAACCUACCUAUAAGACUGGGAUAACUUCGGGAAACCGGAGCUAAGACCGGAAAAUUUAUUGAACCUGAUGGUUCAAUAGUUAAAGGCGGUUUUGCUGUCACUAAUAGAUGGAUCCGCGCCGCAUUAGCUAGUUGGUAAGGUAACGGCUUACCAAGGCAACGAUGCGAAACCGACCCGAGAGGGACGUCGGACAGACUGGAUCUGAGACAGAGUCCAGACACCUACGGGAGGAAGCGGCAGGGAAUCUUCCGGAAUGGAGGAGAGCCUGACGGUGCAAAGCCGCGGGAGUGAUGAAGGUGUUCGGAUGGUAGAGCUCUGUAAUUAGUGAAGUUGAAAUGUGUAAGUAACUAUGCACAUAUUGACGGUACCGGGUCAGAAAGCCACGGCUAACUCCGUG